UCCAACCAAAACCAGCUGCGGUCGCGGCCCCCGGGGUUCUCUCUGGGUGGUAGGGGUAACACCCUCACGCGCCGUACGUCUGCAUCCUUUCUUUACGAGCACCUUCGUUCUCCUUCGGCGGGGCAACCUGCCGUUGGAACCAAACAAAACCUUUUUUUGCAUCUAGCAUUACCUGUUCUGAUACAAACAAUCGUUA
rnacentral:misc_RNA from 1 species